rnacentral:rRNA from 1 species
GACGAACGCUGGCGGCGUGCUUAACACAUGCAAGUAGAACGGAAAGGCCCUGCUUUUGUGGGGUGCUCGAGUGGCGAACGGGGGAGUAUCACGCGAGUAACCUGUCCUUGGUUGUGGGAUAAAUUCAGGAAAAAGGGGCUCAUAUCGCACAGGAGCUCCUGCUGCAUGGUGGGGGUUGGAAAGUUUCGGCGGUUUGGGAGGGACGUGAGGCAUAUCAGCGUGUUGGCGGGGUAGUGGCGUACUAAGGCUUCGAGGGGUAGCCGGCCUGAGAGGGUGACCGGCCACAUUGGGACUGGGAAAGGGGCAGGACUCAUACUGGGGGCAUCGGUGGGGAAUAGUGCACAAUGGGCGGAGGCCGUAUGGAGCAACGCCGCAUGGUAGAUGACGGCCUUCGGGUUGUAACCCGCUUUCGCCUGUGACGAAGCGUGAGUGACGGUAAUGUGUAAAGAAGCACCGGCUAACUACGUG